rnacentral:rRNA from 1 species
AGCCUUUUGAUUUUCUUAUUAAAGGUAUAAUCUGCCCUAUGAAUAAAUUAAAUGGCCGCAGUAUCUUGACUGUGCGAAGGUAGCAUAAUCGUUUGUCUUUUAAUUGGAGUCUGGUAUGAAUGAUUUAAUGAAAGAAAUGCUGUUUUUAAAGGAUAUAUGAAUUUUCAUGUUAGGUGAAGAUGCUUAAAUGUUUAUAAAAGACGAGAAGACCCCGUCAAGUUUUAUAUUAAGUUUUAUAAUUAUGAUAAAAAGUGUGAUUCUAAUAUUUGGUUGGGGCAAUUAUUAAAUAAGGAAAAUUUUAAUUUUUUAUAAUAUUUAUCAAUAGAAGUUUAUAUGAUCCAAUGAUUUGAUUAAAAGAAUAAAUUACUGUGGGGAUAACAGCGUAAUUCCUUCUUAGAGUUCUUAUCGAUGAAGGAGAUUGCGACCUCGAUGUUGGAUUAAGAUUCUCGUUUGGCGCAGAUGUUAAAUGGAGUAGUCUGU